rnacentral:tRNA from 7 species
GCUGCUGUAGCUCAGUUGGUAGAGCGCGUCCUUGGUAAGGACGAGGUCACGAGUUCAAGUCUCGUCAGCAGCUC